UGCGUCUUCCUCACCAUGCACAGUUACUCUUCUCACUCUCAAUCCAUUCAUAUUGAAAAUGAUGAGUAGUGACUGAUGAGGCACAAUCAGCCAA
rnacentral:miRNA from 1 species